GAUUGGAAAUUGGAACAGUGUAAAAAAUUUUACACUGUUCUUUUACUUUUACAAAAUUUAAAUAUAAUAGUUCCCUUUCUUUUUGAAUGUUUUCAGUACAUUAUGUUUCAAAAAUCUCACUAUAAUUUUUUUCUUUUCGCAUUAAAAUUAAGCACCACCUCUUUUCAAACUUUUAACACUAUCUUUUUUUUCAAUAUCGCAUUACCACCUCUGUCUACGAUCUAUUUUAAUACCAAUUUAUUACACAACACCGUUCUGUGGAUAUUAAGUUUCAGUUUUGCCAUAAAAAAAACACUUUAGGGUUUCUAAUUUUAUUUUGCUUUUUCUUUUUUUUAACAGUUUUCCGCGUAACCUUCAAUCCAGCUCGAAGAACCAAAAAAUGUUUGCGAAUAAUUAAAAAUAAGUUUUAAAAACACUUUUAAAAUUUUAAAUGAAAAAUAAGUUUUUUUAGUAUUUAAAUAUUAGAAAAAUAAGUAAAUUUAGAAAAAAAUUAUAUACUUCUUUUUUGGAAAAAUUACAAAUUACACAUAUCUUUAUAUAUCUACGUUAUAUUUGCUUUCUUUUCUUCUUUUUCUUCAAGAACUUGACAAUUCAAAUUUAUAUAAAUGUUAUAUAUAAAAUGUUCAAAUUAUAUAACUCAAGAAAAUUAUUUUAUGUUUAAUAUUUCGAAAUAUGUAGUAAUUUCCAGAAUAACCAGUUGUGCAACGGUGAAGUUGUUCCUGGCCAGUCCCACUUUUCGUUUGUUAACGUAUUUCUUCUUUUCUUUUAUGUUGAUCAUAUGAUAUUGUUGGAUAGUUUAAUUGAAAAACUUCUUCUUGAAAAACUGCUUGGUUUGAAGUUUAUUAAUUUAUUUAUAAAAAAUCUGACUUAUUUAUACAAAAAUUAUACUACCUAAAAUUAAUUAUUUCCCACAGAAAUAGACUAGUAAGCAAUUUUAUGCAUUUAUAUAAUUUAUAAUUUUUCCAUGUUAACUUAACGUACGUUAAUUUACUUAAAGUAAAAUUAACAAACAAAAUAUAUGUAAUUUGACUAAUACUAAAAUAUUGGGAGAAAGUUAUGUAUGGGAAAAUAUUUAGAUUAACUAACUAUAAUGUUUGCCAGUACGUGUGCGUUAAUAUUAAGUUUUGACAAAUUAGAAUUUUAGCAAUUUUGAUAACUUAAAUAAAUGGGAAAAUAAUAAUAAGAAAUAUAUAAUUCAGAAUAAUUGUUGUUACACAACAGAUGUAGUUCACCGAACCUCUAAUGAAAUGUAUCAUUCUUAUGUACACCGCAAUACAAAUUGUUGUAAAAUUCUACGUUUCUUCGUUUCUGUUUUAUGCUAUUUUCCCCUUCAAUUCUCCAUUUCAUUCACCUUCUAUUUUUGUUCUUACUCCAUUACAUUUCUAUCAAUAGCUGACUAUAACUCUACAUAAACUUGUCUACCAUAGGUGACAGUUGGCAGCAUUGAUAUAUGUUUGUGCAGAAAUAAUCACUGCGAACUGUUAUCCUCUAGCUUCAUUUAUAUUGUUGAAGUGAGUAUCAGUGUUUAAUAAAAUAAAAAUAUAAUUUUUAGAAAAAUUAGAAAUUUAAUGGACCUGGAGUCCAAAAAAUAAAAGGCAGAAAUCUAAGGAGAAAACGAUGAAAGAUGAAGUUCAACCAAAAAGUGCUAAAUCGGCAUUGGAAGACCCUAUCUGGACUGAUGGAUGCAUGACUGGAAAAUAUUACAAAUUCAUAUGAAGAAGCAAAAGCCGUUGAGUGGAUUACACUGGACUAUAACGAAAUUAGAUAAGUAACAAAAAAUGUUCUCCUAUACUACGUGGUGUUUCUUUAUGGUUUUUUUGUUGUUUUCUUUUUAAAAAAAAAGCAGUGUGACUUCAUGACGGAACAUUCUCCCGGCCUUGGCAUCUAUGUUGAAAGAUGACAAAAACAGUGAUGUGUAGAUAUGUUACUGGAGAAUAAAAGGUGUGUUGCUGGAGAGCAAUGAUAUUGAUACCGAAUAAGCCAAAUUUUGAUGUUAAUUGGUAAAUUUUAAAAUUUCGAUUAAACGUUCCAAAUGCAAAUUGCACCCAUCACAAAAGUCAUGUCCUUUUAGGUCUUCAC